rnacentral:rRNA from 1 species
AGAGCGAACGCUGGCGGCAGGCUUAACACAUGCAAGUCGAGCGGGCGUAGCAAUACGUCAGCGGCAGACGGGUGAGUAACGCGUGGGAACAUACCUUUUGGUUCGGAACAACCCAGGGAAACUUGGGCUAAUACCGGAUAAGCCCUUACGGGGAAAGAUUUAUCGCCGAAAGAUUGGCCCGCGUCUGAUUAGCUAGUUGGUGGGGUAACGGCUCACCAAGGCGACGAUCAGUAGCUGGUCUGAGAGGAUGAUCAGCCACAUUGGGACUGAGACACGGCCCAAACUCCUACGGGAGGCAGCAGUGGGAAUAUUGGACAAUGGGCGCAAGCCUGAUCCAGCCAUGCCGCGUGAGUGAUGAAGGCCCUAGGGUUGUAAAGCUCUUUGUGCGGGAAGAUAAUGACGGUACCGCAAGAAUAAGCCCGGCUAACUUCGCGCCAGCAGCCGC